UACGUAGGGUGCAAGCGUUGUCCGGAAUUAUUGGGCGUAAAGAGCUCGUAGGCGGUUUGUCGCGUCUGCUGUGAAAACGCGAGGCUCAACCUCGCGCCUGCAGUGGGUACGGGCAGACUAGAGUGUGGUAGGGGAGAUUGGAAUUCCUGGUGUAGCGGUGAAAUGCGCAGAUAUCGGGAGGAACACCGGUGGCGAAGGCGGUUCUCUGGGCCUGACCUGACGCUGAGGAGCGAAAGCGUGGGGAGCAAACAGG
rnacentral:rRNA from 1 species